AACACACAGGUUUGGUCCCAGCCUUCCCAUUAACCCUUAAUAGACUUACACAUGCAAGUAUCCACAUCCCAGUGAAAAUGC
rnacentral:rRNA from 1 species